CAAUAGCGUAUAUUAAAGUUGUUGCUGUUAAAAAGCUCGUAGUUGGAUUUGUGGCGUACGGUGUGUUCCGGGCACUUGUUGUCUGAGUAACCUGCUGUUGCCAUCCUUGGGUGGAACCUGUGUGGCAUUAGGUUGUCGUGCAGGGGAUGCCCAUCAUUUACUGUGAAAAAAUUAGAGUGUUCAAAGCAGGCUUAUGCCGUUGAAUAUAUUAGCAUGGAAUAAUGAGAUAGGACUUUUUUGCUAUUUUGUUGGUUUGCGCAAAGAGGUAAUGAUUAAUAGGGACAGCUGGGGGUAUUCGUAUUCCAUUGUCAGAGGUGAAAUUCUUGGAUUUUUGGAAGACGAACUACUGCGAAAGCAUUUACCAAGGAUGUUUUCAUUAA
rnacentral:rRNA from 1 species